rnacentral:rRNA from 1 species
CCUACGGGCGGCAGCAGUGAGGAAUAUUGGUCAAUGGUCGGGAGACUGAACCAGCCAAGCCGCGUGAGGGAUGAAGGUACAGAGUAUCGUAAACCUCUUUUGUCAGGGAACAAAGGCGGGGACGUGUCCCCGGCUGAGUGUACCUGAAGAAAAAGCAUCGGCUAACUCCGUGCCAGCAGCCGCGGUAAUACGGAGGAUGCGAGCGUUAUCCGGAUUUAUUGGGUUUAAAGGGUGCGCAGGCGGUCUGUUAAGUCAGCGGUCAAAGCCCGGGGCUCAACCCCGGCCCGCCGUUGAAACUGGCAGUCUCGAGUUGGAGAGAAGUAGGCGGAAUGCGCGGUGUAGCGGUGAAAUGCAUAGAUAUCGCGCAGAACUCCGAUUGCGAAGGCAGCAUGCCGGCUCCACACUGACGCUGAGGCACGAAAGCGUGGGUAUCGAACAGGAUUAGAUACCCUGGUAGUC